AGACUCCAGAGGCGUACCUACCUUAGGUUUUCUGGGGUGAAGGCUCGGUUCAGAUCCGUGUCUACAUAUCUGGUGCACUUCUCCACAGCCUUGGGAUUGGUGAUAAAAGACGUUCAUGGCCUGCACGGGUGUUUCUGGAAUAUGCUGAGCAAACUUAGGAGCAGCUGGAGAAGAUUCAGCUUAAGUGGUUAUUUUUGGCGUCGCUGUGAUACACUGAUGACUGAUUUGGCUCUGGUGACUCUGGAGACUCUUGAGUCUAGAAAAGGAGCUGUUGGACAGAAAGAUGUCAACUGAGUGGGUACCAGCAGGUUUUGUCUACGUGUCUAUGUCCCACUGGGAGGAGUUCCCCUGGAUAAGCUGGAGGUGGUGGCUGGGCAGAGGGAGUUCUGGGGUUCUCUGCUUAGGAUCCUGCCUCUGGGACCCAACUGCAGAUAAAUGGAAGAAAAUGGAUGGAUGUUUUGUAACAGUGCAAUGAUUCAGCUUGAUUGUCUAUCUUGAGGAUACCAGGAGAGACGAGCCCUCCAUCACAGAUGGUGUUCAGUGAACAAAGUCGCCUGCAGAUUCAAGACCAUUGCAUCUCCAUCCCACAUUCACUGCCACUGUACAUAAGGGAAGUUGAACUUGCUGCGAUCACUGCAUUUUCAUUACCUUAAUCCAUGACAGUCUUUCAGGCUGUAAUGCCUGGACUGAGCAGAACUGCUUAAACUUGGGUUCAAAAUAAUUCAAUCUGAGACUUUGGUUUUUUUUUUUUGGUUUUUUUUUGUAAGGUUAUUAAAGUUUUAAAUUGUUUAACACAAAUGAAAAUUUAAUUUGAUAAGGAUCCCUCCUGGGUGAGGUGUUCCGGGCAUGUCCCAGGACACGCUGAAGAGAUUAGAUCUCUCGGCUGGCCUGGGAACGCCUUGGUGUUGCCCCGGAUAAGCUGGAGAAGGUGGCUGGGGAGAGGGAGGUCUGGGCUUCUCUGCUUAGGCUGCUGCCCCUGCGACCCGGCCCCGGAUAAAGUGGAUGAAGAUGGAUGGAUAGAUGGAAUUUGAUAAUAUUUAAAGUAUAAUUAAAUAACACAAGCUACAAUAGUGGGAAUAUACUUGUUUGUUUGUCAUUAAUGUGUCCAGUAUUUUGACUAAUAAAUAUUUUUUGCAUUUGAAAAUAAAAGUUGGUCUGAUUUCAACUGCAUUACAAAAUGUCUUUAAUUUCGAGGAUAAUAAAACAUGUGAUCUAGUUGCAUUCGAUUUCUAUGUGGAUAGGUUUCAUUCAGAAAAAUCAAAUUAUUCUAAGUACUGGGUACUCCAUGAAUAAAUUGUCCUAGCUUGGUUAUCAAGUUUUACUUGUGGGUUUUUGUUUGGGUUUUUUUUGUUUUGAGGCAAUGAGUUUGCAUAAUUUAAGUUCUAGGAACUAAUUUGGUUGUACAGCAUGUUAACAUUGUUCUCACCAAUGGAUGACACCAAUACUAGUGUUUGCAUGAAGGAGAAAUUGUAAUUCAACCACAUUGGAGGAUGAUGAGAAAUUGUGAGGAACAUACAAAGUGACAAUACAAAUGACAAAUUGUAUAUGUAGGAAUAAAUAAGCUAAU